GACGAACGCUGGCGGCGUGCUUAACACAUGCAAGUCGUACGGUAAGGCCCUUUCGGGGGUACACGAGUGGCGAACGGGUGAGUAACACGUGAGUAACCUGCCCACAACUUUGGGAUAACGCUAGGAAACUGGUGCUAAUACUGGCUAUGUGCUCCUGCUGCAUGGUGGGGGUUGGAAAGCUCCGGCGGUUGUGGAUGGACUCGCGGCCUAUCAGCUUGUUGGUGGGGUAGUGGCCUACCAAGGCGGCGACGGGUAGCCGGCCUGAGAGGGUGACCGGCCACAUUGGGACUGAGAGACGGCCCAGAAGCCGACGGGAGGCAGCAGGGGGGAAUAGUGCACAAGGGGCGCAAGCCUGAUGCAGCAACGCCGCGGGCGGGAGGACGGGCUUCGGGUUGGAAACCGCUUUCAGCAGGGACGAAGCUUUUUGUGACGGUACCUGCAGAAGAAGCACCGGCUAACUACGUG
rnacentral:rRNA from 1 species